rnacentral:tRNA from 1 species
CCCCUCGUAGCUCAACGGUAGAGCGCGCGGCUGUAGCCCGCGUUACCCAAGUUCGACUCUUGGCGAGGGGA